GGCUGGAGUACCAUAGUGGGGACACAUUUUUGUGAUGGAAACUCCUGUUCUAGUAUUGUUAAAGGCCUUCAGCAUCAAAACUGUGAACAAACCUAUACAGGACUGAGGUUCUGUCCACUGAAACAUGGCUUGAAAUUAAAGGGUAAUCAAAAAACUUAGUAAGCAGGAAGAAGAGGAAGUGAGAUGAAAACAACUGUCUUUAACCAUCCUCUCUGUCACUCUCCAGACUGCUCCUGCUUAAUCUUGCCUUGAGCAAUACUGGCUUGGCUUCUUCUGCUCUGGAGUGCUGGCUGCAGAAGGAACUGGGAUAGGAUGUUUUUGACAAGCAGCACAUUCUGUUUUAAACCCUUUUGCACGGAAUACAAAUCCUUGAAUGUUUUCCAGAAAUCUGAAGUGUGUUGACUUCUAUACUCAGAAUAAUAAACACAACUGUGCUUGU